rnacentral:SRP_RNA from 15 species
UCUUUCCGCCGGCUGUGCCGCAGCAUUGAACUCUCGUCCGGUGGGGAUGAUUGGAGGGGGGGCAUUGGCGAGGAGGACGAGGAGGG